AGAGCAAGGGUGAUAUAUAUGAUAAAUUGGAAUCGAUACAGAGAAGAUUAGCAUGGCCCCUGCAAAAGGAUGACACGCAAAUUCGUGAAGCGUUUCCACAUUUU
rnacentral:snRNA from 1 species